rnacentral:tRNA from 1 species
UCCCUGGUUGUCCAGUGGUUAGGACUCUGCGCUUUCACUGCCGAGGGCCCGGGUUUGAUCCCUGGUCAGGGAA